GCCCGCCUAGCUCAAUCGGAUAGAGCGUCAGACUUUUACAACCAUCAGUUUGACUGGGCGUGAUCUGAAGGCUGCGAGUUCGACCCUCGCGGUGGGCU
rfam:Rhizopogon vinicolor AM-OR11-026 unplaced genomic scaffold K503scaffold_46, whole genome shotgun sequence.